UGGGGGAAUAUUGCACAAUGGGCGCAAGCCUGAUGCAGCCAUGCCGCGUGUGUGAAGAAGGCCUUCGGGUUGUAAAGCACUUUCAGCGAGGAGGAAGGUGGUGAACUUAAUACGUUCAUCAAUUGACGUUACUCGCAGAAGAAGCACCGGCUAACUCCGUGCCAGCAGCCGCGGUAAUACGGAGGGUGCAAGCGUUAAUCGGAAUUACUGGGCGUAAAGCGCACGCAGGCGGUUCGUUAAGUCAGAUGUGAAAUCCCCGGGCUCAACCUGGGAACUGCAUUUGAAACUGGCAAGCUAGAGUCUCGUAGAGGGGGGUAGAAUUCCAGGUGUAGCGGUGAAAUGCGUAGAGAUCUGGAGGAAUACCGGUGGCGAAGGCGGCCCCCCUGGACGAAGACUGACGCUCAGGUGCGAAAA
rnacentral:rRNA from 1 species